rnacentral:rRNA from 1 species
GGUUAAGCGACUAAGCGUACACGGUGGAUGCCCUGGCAGUCAGAGGCGAUGAAGGACGUGCUAAUCUGCGAAAAGCGUCGGUAAGGUGAUAUGAACCGUUAUAGCCGGCGAUGUCCGAAUGGGGAAACCCAGUGCAAUUCGUUGCACUAUCGUUAACUGAAUACAUAGGUUAACGAGGCGAACCGGGGGAACUGAAACAUCUAAGUACCCCGAGGAAAAGAAAUCAACCGAGAUUCCCCCAGUAGCGGCGAGCGAACGGGGAGCAGCCCAGAGUCUGAAUCAGCUUGUGUGUUAGUGGAACGGUCUGGAAAGUCCGACGGUACAGGGUGAUAGUCCCGUACACCAAAAUGCACAGGCUGUGAACUCGAAGAGUAGGGCGGGACACGUGGUAUCCUGUCUGAAUAUGGGGGGACCAUCCUCCAAGGCUAAAUACUCCUGACUGACCGAUAGUGAACCAGUACCGUGAGGGAAAGGCGAAAAGAACCCCGGCGAGGGGAGUGAAAAAGAACCUGAAACCGUGUACGUACAAGCAGUGGGAGCACCUUCGGGUGUGACUGCGUACCUUUUGUAUAAUGGGUCAGCGACUUAUAUUCUGUAGCAAGGUUAACCGUAUAGGGGAGCCGCAGGGAAACCGAGUCUUAACUGGGCGUUAAGUUGCAGGGUAUAGACCCGAAACCCGGUGAUCUAGCCAUGGGCAGGUUGAAGGUUGGGUAACACUAACUGGAGGACCGAACCGACUAAUGUUGAAAAAUUAGCGGAUGACUUGUGGCUGGGGGUGAAAGGCCAAUCAAACCGGGAGAUAGCUGGUUCUCCCCGAAAGCUAUUUAGGUAGCGCCUCGUGAACUCAUCUUCGGGGGUAGAGCACUGUUUCGGCUAGGGGGUCAUCCCGACUUACCAACCCGAUGCAAACUACGAAUACCGAAGAAUGUUAUCACGGGAGACACACGGCGGGUGCUAACGUCCGUCGUGAAGAGGGAAACAACCCAGACCGCCAGCUAAGGUCCCAAAGUCAUGGUUAAGUGGGAAACGAUGUGGGAAGGCACAGACAGCCAGGAUGUUGGCUUAGAAGCAGCCAUCAUUUAAAGAAAGCGUAAUAGCUCACUGGUCGAGUCGGCCUGCGCGGAAGAUGUAACGGGGCUAAACCAUGCACCGAAGCUGCGGCAGCGACACUAUGUGUUGUUGGGUAGGGGAGCGUUCUGUAAGCCUGCGAAGGUGUGCUGUGAGGCAUGCUGGAGGUAUCAGAAGUGCGAAUGCUGACAUAAGUAACGAUAAAGCGGGUGAAAAGCCCGCUCGCCGGAAGACCAAGGGUUCCUGUCCAACGUUAAUCGGGGCAGGGUGAGUCGACCCCUAAGGCGAGGCCGAAAGGCGUAGUCGAUGGGAAACAGGUUAAUAUUCCUGUACUUGGUGUUACUGCGAAGGGGGGACGGAGAAGGCUAUGUUAGCCGGGCGACGGUUGUCCCGGUUUAAGCAUGUAGGCUGAUUGUCCAGGCAAAUCCGGAUAAUCAAGGCUGAGGUGUGAUGACGAGGCACUACGGUGCUGAAGUAACAAAUGCCCUGCUUCCAGGAAAAGCCUCUAAGCAUCAGGUAACAUUAAAUCGUACCCCAAACCGACACAGGUGGUCAGGUAGAGAAUACCAAGGCGCUUGAGAGAACUCGGGUGAAGGAACUAGGCAAAAUGGUGCCGUAACUUCGGGAGAAGGCACGCUGGUGUGUAGGUGAAGCCCCUGCGGGUGGAGCUGAGACCAGUCGAAGAUACCAGCUGGCUGCAACUGUUUAUUAAAAACACAGCACUGUGCAAACACGAAAGUGGACGUAUACGGUGUGACGCCUGCCCGGUGCCGGAAGGUUAAUUGAUGGGGUUAUCCGUAAGGAGAAGCUCUUGAUCGAAGCCCCGGUAAACGGCGGCCGUAACUAUAACGGUCCUAAGGUAGCGAAAUUCCUUGUCGGGUAAGUUCCGACCUGCACGAAUGGCGUAAUGAUGGCCAGGCUGUCUCCACCCGAGACUCAGUGAAAUUGAACUCGCUGUGAAGAUGCAGUGUACCCGCGGCAAGACGGAAAGACCCCGUGAACCUUUACUAUAGCUUGACACUGAACAUUGAGCCUUGAUGUGUAGGAUAGGUGGGAGGCUUUGAAGCGUGGACGCCAGUCUGCGUGGAGCCAACCUUGAAAUACCACCCUUUAAUGUUUGAUGUUCUAACGUUGGCCCCUGACCGGGGUUGCGGACAGUGUCUGGUGGGUAGUUUGACUGGGGCGGUCUCCUCCCAAAGCGUAACGGAGGAGCACGAAGGUUAGCUAAUCCUGGUCGGACAUCAGGAGGUUAGUGCAAUGGCAUAAGCUAGCUUGACUGCGAGCGUGACGGCGCGAGCAGGUGCGAAAGCAGGUCAUAGUGAUCCGGUGGUUCUGAAUGGAAGGGCCAUCGCUCAACGGAUAAAAGGUACUCCGGGGAUAACAGGCUGAUACCGCCCAAGAGUUCAUAUCGACGGCGGUGUUUGGCACCUCGAUGUCGGCUCAUCACAUCCUGGGGCUGAAGUAGGUCCCAAGGGUAUGGCUGUUCGCCAUUUAAAGUGGUACGCGAGCUGGGUUUAGAACGUCGUGAGACAGUUCGGUCCCUAUCUGCCGUGGGCGCUGGAGAAUUGAGGGGGGCUGCUCCUAGUACGAGAGGACCGGAGUGGACGCAUCACUGGUGUUCGGGUUGUCAUGCCAAUGGCACUGCCCGGUAGCUAAAUGCGGAAGAGAUAAGUGCUGAAAGCAUCUAAGCACGAAACUUGCCCCGAGAUGAGUUCUCCCUGAGACUUUAAGUCUCCUGAAGGAACGUUAAAGACGAUGACGUUGAUAGGCCGGGUGUGUAAGCGCAGCGAUGCGUUGAGCUAACCGGUACUAAUGAACCGUGAGGCUUAACCUU